CCCUUAGAUGUUCUGGGCCGCACGCGCGCUACACUGUUCGACGCAGCGAGUCUUAACCUUGACCGAAAGGUUUGGGUAAUCUUCAGCAAAGUCGAACGUGAUGGGGAUCGAUCAUUGCAAUUAUUGAUCGUGAACGAGGGAUUCCUAGUAAGUGCAAGUCAUCAGCUUGCGCUGAUUACGUCCCUGCCCUUUGUACACACCGCCCGUCGCUACUACCGAUUGAAUGGUUUAGUGAGAUCUCUGGAUUGACGCUGGCUAGGGGGCGACCCUUGGCCAGGCUGUCGAGAAACUGCUCAAACUUGAUCAUUUAGAGGAAGUAAAAGUCGUAACA
rnacentral:rRNA from 1 species